CCAGCGGCUGCGGUAAUUCCAGCUCCAAUAGCGUAUAUUUAAGUUGUUGCAGUUAAAAAGCUCGUAGUUGGAUUUAGGGUGGGUCGCGGCGGUCCGCCUCUGGUGUGCACUGCUGCCGGCCCACCUUUCUGUCGGGGACGGGCUCCUGGGCUUCACUGUCCGGGACCCGGGCUCGGCGAGGUUACUUUGAGUAAAUUAGAGUGUUCAAAGCAGGCGUUCGCCCUGAAUACAUUAGCAUGGAAUAGCACGAUAGGACUCUGGCCUAUCUUGCUGGUCUGUAGGACCGGAGUAAUGAUUAAGAGGGACAGUCGGGGGCAUUCGUAUUUCAUUGUCAGAGGUGAAAUUCUUGGAUUUAUGAAAGACGAACUUCUGCGAAAGCAUUUGCCAAGGAUGUUUUCAUUGAUCAAGAACGAAAGU
rnacentral:rRNA from 1 species